CAGAUUUGACCACUGUCAAAUAUUCGAUCAUUGAAAGUAGGUUCCCUUAACAUCAUGGUCAUUGCCAAAUAUGAUCCAUGAUUACACAGAUGCUCCUCAGCUUACAAGGGGGUUACAUGAUCAUAUCAUCGGCAAACAGCAGCAGUUUGACUUCCUCCUUACCGAUUUGGAUGUAGAACUCAAAUAUUACAAGAUGGGAGCUUUGCAAAUAGGGGGCUGAAAAAUUUGAUGGAGUUACUGAGUAAUGUUCUCAAAUAAGUGAGUAGAGAUCAGGGCUUGAUUAAAUACAGCCAAAGGGGAUGAAUGUUUUUCUUUUUUUUCUUUUGUUUUUGAGACAGGAGUCUCUCUUUGUUGCCCAGGCUGGAGUUCAGUGGCACCAUCUCAGCUCACUGAAGCCUCCACCAUCUCCACCAUCCCAGUUCAAGGGAUUCUCCCACCUCAGCCUCCACUGUAGCUGGGACUCUAGGCAUGUGCCACUACGCCUGGCUAAUUUCUGUAUUUUUUAGUAGAGACAGAGUUUCACCAUGUUGGCUAGGCUGGUCUUGAACUCCUGACCUCAGG
rnacentral:lncRNA from 1 species